GGCGAACGCUGGCGGCGUGCCUAAUACGUGCAAGUAGAACGCACAGUUUAUACCGUAGCUUGCUACACCAUAGACUGUGAGUUGCGAACGGGUGAGUAACGCGUAGGUAACCUGCCUGGUAGCGGGGGAUAACUAUUGGAAACGAUAGCUAAUACCGCAUAAUAUUAAUUAUUGCAUGAUAAUUGAUUGAAAGAUGCAACUGCAUCACUACCAGAUGGACCUGCGUUGUAUUAGCUAGUAGGUGAGGUAACGGCUCACCUAGGCGACGAUACAUAGCCGACCUGAGAGGGUGAUCGGCCACCCUGGGACUGGGACACGGCCCAGACUCCUACGGGAGGCAGCAGUAGGGAAUCUUCGGCAAUGGACGAAAGUCUGACCGAGCAACGCCGCGUGAGUGAAGAAGGUUUUCGGAUCGUAAAGCUCUGUUGUAAGAGAAGAACGGGUGUGAGAGUGGAAAGUUCACACUGUGACGGUAUCUUACCAGAAAGGGACGGCUAACUACGUG
rnacentral:rRNA from 1 species